UACGCGCCGACUGGUGCAUGAAAUCGUUUUGAGAGCGACAAAUCGCUAACUCUUCUUCCAACUUGGACACCCGUUCGGACUCUGAGUGGCACUAGACUGGACAUCCUGAGACUGUGCCAGCUCGGAGUUGCGAAACUCAUCCAACUCUCCUCCGGUAUCUUCCAGGUCAGUGUUCAACUGCCGGAUCUGACCCAUGGACUGGACACUGCUGUUGAAAGAGCCAAUGAGUUUGCGAAUGCUCUUAAACAUCGUGCCGCUUGACUGCCGUGCAACUUGCGCAACAUCAUUAUCCGUUUCUGUCGCUUCAAGUGCUUUGUCGACUUGCACCACCUUCUCCAUAAAUGCGUUAUCGGGAGGAGCGAAAUCUGUUUCCGCCAAAAUUUUUCUCAAAUACUGUUGUGAAGGAUGAACUACCAUCACUUCCGACUCUUCAGCAGUAUGGCCGAUUACGGCCUGAUUUAACUGACUAUGUUCCGGUGAACCGGGCGCUGACAGGAAAUUUUCUUCACCGGAUAUCGGCGAUUGUACUACUGAUUCUCUUCUCGAAAUCUUUGAAAAAUCUAUAGGCUUUGCGCCAUCUGACACCACUUCCCGCUGAUCAUCCAAAAGGUUGAGCUGAUCAACUGGAAUGUUAGUUUCCUGUGCCUUAUUUUCAACCGCCUCUGUCAGUGCAUUUCCACUAGACAAAUCCUGCGUACUUCGUGUUUGACGAGUCGAUUCCAUUGGCUGCGGCUGCUCGCUUGCAGAUACUGCUGCUUUUCGCUCUUCCGUUUUCUUUUUAUACUCGGGUAAUUGUUCAUAUGCCCGUUUAACCGCUUCCUGAAACUCUUCGUCUGAAAUUUCCAGGUACGCUUCCGGUAUACACUGUUCUGAUUCUACCCAACCACGGUAGUAGAACGGUGCUCUCGGUUUCGGGUUCGAAAACUGUCCGAUUUCCUGGUAUUCAAUCCAGGUUUUUCCACAAAAUGCUUUCGGCUGGCUAGGAGGUUCAACUCCUAGUACCUCGUACAUCAGUCCCAAAGGAAUUACUUCCGCAUUAAAUUUGAAUAUUUUCUGUUGUGAUAUUGCCUCACAGGGGCCUAAUAUCACUCGCUUCGGGUCAAUUGUGACCA